rnacentral:tRNA from 1 species
GGGCGAGUGGCGGAACUGGUAGACGCGCCAGACUCAAAAUCUAGUGACAGCAAUGUCGUAAGGGUUCAAGUCCCUUCUCGCCCACCA